GGGCUUGUAGCUCAGUGGACUAGAGCAUAUGGCUACGAACCAUAGUGUCGGGGGUUCGAAUCCCUCCUUGCCCA
rfam:Klebsormidium nitens chloroplast DNA, contig: KFL_3730.